GUGAACCGUAAUACCGGGUCACUGGACUAUACCUACUCUUUAAUAUUUAGCAUUCAAACGCAUACAUGAUGGACGCGAGUAUUGUCCUGUUCAUAAUGUAAAUCCAGUUUUUAAAACUGGAGGGAAAAAUUUACAAACAAAAAAAUCCUUAAGCCUAAUUGCUGCUCAAAAAAAUGCCGUGCUCUUUGACUAGGUAGGUAUCUAAUCUAAGUGGACGUUAGAUAAAUCGAUUAGUCUCUUAUUGUUUAUGUGCAAAAUUCCAUUCUAUAAGUAUUUUCGCUAAGUAAUUUCAUUGCAAUUUCCAUAGUGUUAAAAUAUCUACGCUUUAUUUAUG